rnacentral:rRNA from 1 species
CCUACGGGGGGCAGCAGUGAGGAAUAUUGGUCAAUGGGCGCGAGCCUGAACCAGCCAAGUAGCGUGAAGGAUGACUGCCCUACGGGUUGUAAACUUCUUUUAUAAAGGAAUAAAGUGAGGCACGUGUGCCUUUUUGUAUGUACUUUAUGAAUAAGGAUCGGCUAACUCCGUGCCAGCAGCCGCGGUAAUACGGAGGAUCCGAGCGUUAUCCGGAUUUAUUGGGUUUAAAGGGAGCGUAGAUGGGUUGUUAAGUCAGUUGUGAAAGUUUGUGGCUCAACCGUAAAAUUGCAAUUGAUACUGGCAGCCUUGAGUACAGUAGAGGUAGGCGGAAUUCGUGGUGUAGCGGUGAAAUGCUUAGAUAUCACGAAGAACUCCGAUUGCGAAGGCAGACUACUAAACUGCCACUGACAUUGAUGCUCGAAAGUGUGGGGAGCAAACAGGAUUAGAUACCCGAGUAGUC